AUUGGUCAAUGGCCUAACGGCCGAACCAGCAACUUGGAGGAAUGAAUAGCGAGAGCUAGUUACGUAAAAAGUAAUAAUGACUAUGUCAUAUAAAAUUCUGGGCAUCAUCUUGAUAAUGACAGGAUAUGUCUAUAGGUCUUGACCAAUUCACGUGCCAGCAGUCGCGGUAACACGUGUAAGACAAGUGUUAUUCAUCUUUAAUGGGUUUAAAGGGUACCUAGACGGUAAAGUAAGCCAAUAUAAGGGAACUACUUAGACUAGAGUUUUAUGAGAGGUGUGAACAAACCGAACGGUAGGUGUAGUGAUGUAAUACGAUGAUAUCUAACGGACGGUCAAAGGCGAAAGCGAUAUCCUAUGUAAAAACUGACGUUGAGGGACGAAGGCUAAGGUAACCAAAAGGAUUAGAAACCCAAGCAGUCUUAGCAGAAAAUGAUGAAUGUCAUAUGUAAGAUUUUUAAUUUUACGUAUAAAUGAAAGUGUAAGCAUUCCACCUCAAGAGUAAUGUGGCAACGCAGAAACUGAAAUCAUUAGACCGCUUCUGAAACCAGUAGUGAAGUAUGUUGUUUAAUUUGAUGAUCCGCAAACAACCUUACCACAAUUUGAAUAUUUAUAUUUUUAUUUAAUAUACUUACAAGCGUUGCACGGCUGUCUUCAGUUAAUGUCGUGAGAUUUUGGUUAGAUCCAUUAAAUUAACGUAAACCCUUGCUUUAUUUUUUAUAUAAAGUAGUUCACCAACACAAUGGAUAUGAUAUAAGGGACCAAGACAAGUCAUCAUGGCCUUAAUAUUGUGGGCUAUAGACGUGCCACGUAUACCUCGACAAAG
rnacentral:rRNA from 1 species